UACACAAAUCUCAUGGGCUAAG
rnacentral:siRNA from 1 species